rnacentral:rRNA from 1 species
CUAUGGGUUGUAAACUUCUUUUCUCAGAGAAGAAUAUUGACGGUAUCUGAGGAAUAAGCAUCGGCUAACUCUGUGCCAGCAGCCGCGGUAAGACAGAGGAUGCAAGCGUUAUCCGGAAUGAUUGGGCGUAAAGCGUCUGUAGGUGGCUUUAAAAGUCUCCUGUCAAAGAUCAGGGCUUAACCCUGGGCCGGCAGGAGAAACUCUGAGGCUAGAGUUUGGUAGGGGCAGAGGGAAUUCCCGGUGGAGCGGUGAAAUGCGUAGAGAUCGGGAGGAACACCAAAGGCGAAAGCACUCUGCUGGGCCACAACUGACACUGAGAGACGAAAGCGAGGGGAGCAAAUGGGAUUAGAUACCCCCAGUAGUCA